AUGCCCUUCUUUUGGUAUAUGUAUGUAUCCAUAGUUGAAGCAUUGUUUACUGGGAAAAGUCUAAGUAUUUUCUCUAGUCUCGUUUUGGCUAUUGAACCACAAUAUGUUGGGCUGGUAAUAUUAAUGUUUGGAAAUUUUAGCAAAACGACAUUUGCACCAAAUGAAGGAAUGACAUUUUCCCAUCUAAGUUUCUAUAGUCCCUUUAUAAAUAGUAGUAGCCUAGAGACAGUGUAUUUUUGUCUAAACAGCACCCUAAACAAGCAUGAAAUCUGCAUUGAAACGUGCAAAUUGAAGAAAUGGGUUUGCUCUCUUGAUUAG